rnacentral:rRNA from 2 species
CCGAACCGACUAAUGUUGAAAAAUUAGCGGAUGACCUGUGGCUGGGGGUGAAAGGCCAAUCAAACCGGGAGAUAGCUGGUUCUCCCCGAAAGCUAUUUAGGUAGCGCCUCGUGAAUUCAUCUCCGGGGGUAGAGCACUGUUUCGGCUAGGGGGCCAUCCCGGCUUACCAACCCGAUGCAAACUGCGAAUACCGGAGAAUGUUAUCACGGGAGACACACGGCGGGUGCUAACGUCCGUCGUGAAGAGGGAAACAACCCAGACCGCCAGCUAAGGUCCCAAAGUCAUGGUUAAGUGGGAAACGAUGUGGGAAGGCCCAGACAGCCAGGAUGUUGGCUUAGAAGCAGCCAUCAUUUAAAGAAAGCGUAAUAGCUCACUGGUCGAGUCGGCCUGCGCGGAAGAUGUAACGGGGCUAAACCAUGCACCGAAGCUGCGGCAGCGACACUGUGUGUUGUUGGGUAGGGGAGCGUUCUGUAAGCCUGUGAAGGUGUGUCGU